ACUAUGAGAGUGAUAAGAAAAUGUAAACGGAAUUUCUUUUAGUGUUUUUUUUGUGUGUGUAUUUCCCCUAUUUUUUCUACUGCUAGACCUUUAAGAGGAUGGGGGAACGUGGCGACGGAGCUCCAGUGUGGGUGUGCCGGAGAAAAGCUGCAGAGAGCUCUCGAGUUUCACCUGUAGAGCCAGAUGACAAAUUAAGACUCCUUCUACGACUCGCCACAAGGAACUCCUCAAUUGCACUCAAACACAUACACAUAUAUACGCACUUACAAACGCACACACAUACACACAAACCGGCAACCCAUCUGCCCUUCUCUCUUUCUCCCUCACACACACAAACUUGCUCACGCAUACACACUAACUGUCACACACUCUGAGGAGGGCAGUGUGAACAGAGUGCUGUGUUGAGUGAGUGAAUGUGUUGUAGUGAGCAACAGAGGACGGACUACGUCAAAAGAAGAAGUUGAGUGUGACCUAAAGACUUUGUCCAGGAGUUUGUUUGUUUUUUUGGCUGCUGUAUUCUUUUUUUUUUUUACCACUAAAGAAGACACAACCAGGAUGCUACAAAUUUGAAGACUGCAGAGAUUCUGGCGAUCACCACACUUCACCACACGCUCUUCUGUACUGUUUGUCAUUGAAUGUUGAGGAGCCUUCAUGGGGACCAGAUUUGGGCAGUGUAAAACUGCUUUGGCCAGGUGGACCUGUCCUCACACAGAACCUGCAUAUGGUGCCAGUGCAAAGUCUACUAGGCAUAUCUAAACCAAAGAAUCGUUAAAAGGUUAAAAGAAUUGCAUCCUGAAGAGAGGGCAUGGUGUGCUCCUAGCCACUUGUGAAAAUGCCCAAGAAAGACGCUAAGAAGGACGCAAAGAAGGGUGGAAAACCUGAACCAGAGAAAAAAAAAGAGGAGGAAAAGAAAGGGAAGGAUGACAAAAAGGGAGGAAAAGAUGACAAGAAAUCCAGCAAGGAUGAUAAGAAAGGUGGAAAGGAUGAUAAGAAAGGUGGGAAAGAUGAUAAGAAAGGAGGGAAGAAGGACCCACCCAAGGGUAAAGACGAUGGAAAGAAAGGAAAAGACAAAGGGAAGGGUAAGAAAGUGGAGUCUGAGGAAGAGCUCCUAAGUGA